UACGUAGGGUGCAAGCGUUAAUCGGAAUUACUGGGCGUAAAGCGUGCGCAGGCGGUGAUGUAAGACAGAUGUGAAAUCCCCGGGCUCAACUUGGGAACUGCAUUUGUGACUGCAUCGCUGGAGUGCGGCAGAGGGGGGGAUGGAAUUCCGCGUGUAGCAGUGAAAUGCGUAGAUAUGCGGAGGAACACCGAUGGCGAAGGCAAUCCCCUGGGCCUGCACUGACGCUCAUGCACGAAAGCGUGGGGAGCAAACAGG
rnacentral:rRNA from 1 species